rnacentral:rRNA from 1 species
CCUACGGGAGGCAGCAGUGAGGAAUAUUGGUCAAUGGGCGUACGCCUGAACCAGCCAAGUCGCGUGAGGGAAGACUGCCCUAUGGGUUGUAAACCUCUUUUGUCAGGGAGCAACGCCGGCUACGUGUCGCCGGACUGAGAGUACCUGAAGAAAAAGCAUCGGCUAACCCCGUGCAGCAGCCGCGGUAAUACGGAGGAUGCGAGCGUUAACCGGAUUUAUUGGGGUUAAAGGGUUCGGAGGCCGGAAUAUAAAGUCAGGGGUAAAAAUUGGGGGCCCACCCCCGUCGUGCCGUUGAAACUGAUGUUCUUGAGUGGGCGAGAAGUAUGCGGAAUGCGUGGUGUAGCGGUGAAAUGCAUAGAUAUCACGCAGAACUCCGAUUGCGAAGGCAGCAUACCGGCGCCCAACUGACGCUGAAGCACGAAAGCGUGGGUAUCGAACAGGAUUAGAUACCCUGGUAGUC